GACGAACGCUGGCGGCGUGCUUAACUCAUGCAAGUCGAACGAAGAGCGAUGGAAGCUUGCUUCUAUCAAUCUUAGUGGCGAACGGGUGAGUAACGCGUAAUCAACCUGCCCUUCAGAGGGGGACAACAGUUGGAAACGACUGCUAAUACCGCAUACGAUCUAAUCUCGGCAUCGAGGAUAGAUGAAAGGUGGCCUCUACAUGUAAGCUAUCACUGAAGGAGGGGAUUGCGUCUGAUUAGCUAGUUGGAGGGGUAACGGCCCACCAAGGCGAUGAUCAGUAGCCGGUCUGAGAGGAUGAACGGCCACAUUGGGACUGAGACACGGCCCAGACUCCUACGGGAGGCAGCAGUGGGGAAUCUUCCGCAAUGGACGAAAGUCUGACGGAGCAACGCCGCGUGAGUGAUGACGGCCUUCGGGUUGUAAAGCUCUGUUAAUCGGGACGAAAGGCCUUCUUGCGAAUAGUGAGAAGGAUUGACGGUACCGGAAUAGAAAGCCACGGCUAACUACGUG
rnacentral:rRNA from 1 species